AGCGGGAUCAGCUCAAAUUUGAAAUCUCGCAAGUCUCUUGCGCGAAUUGUAGUUUAAAGAAGUAUUUUCGGAGGUGGACCAGGCCCAAGUCCUUUGGGAUAAGGCAUCGUAGAGGGUGAGAAUCCCGUACGGUUUGGCACCAUCUCUAUGUGAUAUACUUUCAAAGAGUCGGGUUGUUUGGGAAUGCAGCCCAAAAUGGGUGGUAAAUACCAUCUAAAGCUAAAUAUUGGCGAGAGACCGAUAGCGAACAAGUACCGUGAGGGAAAGAUGAAAAGAACUUUGAAAAGAGAGUUAAAAGUACGUGAAAUUGUCAAAAGGGAAACACUUGAAACCAGUCUUGCUAGUAGGAUCCCAACUGUUUUCACAAACAGUACAUGUUUCUGCUGGCAGGUCAACAUCGGUUUUGGUUGGAGUACAAAGCCUCUGGAAGGUAGCGACUUGUCGUGUUAUAGCCAGAGGUGCUGCUCUGAGCGAGACCGAGGUAUGCAGUGUAGCCUUGGGAACCCGGCAGCCAAGUGAUGCCCAACUAUGGACAACUUGUUGAUCAUGGCUGGUAUAAGCUUGCUCUGUCGGUUUACCACACCUAUGCUUAGGAUGUUGACAUAAUGGUUUUAAAUGACCCGUCUUGAAACACGGACCAAGGAGUCUAACACAUAUGCGAGUUUUUGGGUGGAAAACCCGGGAAGCGUAAUGAAAGUAUUAAGGUGGGAACCGCAAGGUGCACCAUCGACCGGUCUGGACUUUAUACGAAAGAUCUGAGUAAGAGCAUAUUUGUUAGGACCCGAAAGAUGGUGAACUAUGCCUGAAUAGGGUGAAGCCAGAGGAAACUCUGGUGGAGGCUCGUAGAGAUUCUGACGUGCAAAUCGAUCUUCAAAUUUG
rnacentral:rRNA from 1 species